CAAUGAAAGCUGAAACAGUUUUAUACUAGGGCUGCAAUUAACAUUGAUUAUUUUCAUUUUCGAUUAAUCUGUUGAUUAUUUUCUUGAUUAAUCUAUUAGUUGCUUGGUCUGUAAAAUGUCAGAAA